rnacentral:lncRNA from 1 species
GCUGGGAGUACAGGUGUGAGCUACUGCACCUGACUCAGAUUUCUUUUGUGUAAAAUAACAAAUGACUAGAACAAAGAUGCUAGGGAGUCUUCUUUGAAACAAUCCUGUGUGUGCUUGUAAAAGAUGACAGGUUUCAUUUGGAAGAGGGAUGUCUGUGGGACAUUUGCUGCCUGCAGCUCCUCCAGCAGCUUCAAGAGGAAGGUCGUCCCACACUGCAGGGAGGUGGGUGGUGGACAGAGGUUACCAGGCAGCCUCAGCCUCCAUCUGCUUGGGAGCGUCAGCCUAGCCCGACAAGGGGUUUGGUGGGAGGUCAGAUCCUGACCAACCUGUGGCUACUGGCGCUGGGUGUCUUGCCCCUGUGACCUCACUUCCUCACCUGCAGGACAGAGAUGACUCCUGCUCAAUCUCACGCAUGGCGUUACCUCGAAUAACAAGUCAGGUGGCAGACACACACAGGCAUGAUCAUCAGUGACAAUGGCAGUGAGGCCACCAGGGCCCCCUGGCCAGGCUUGGCCCAAGGCUGCCCUGCCUUUGACUCUCUUAGCCUUGGGGUCAGGACAGGGAUGGCUCUGGGGGAGCCCAUGCUCUCUGCAUGGGAAGGGGUACGACUCCCCUUUUCACCCCACCCCCAGAGGAAGACCUCACACAUCUUGAUGAGGCCAUAGCAUUUGGCUACAUUGGGCCCAACCCCCGCACGUGGCCGCUGCUUAAACGCUGACUGUGAGUGAAGCCAUCUCUGAUCUCUCCCGCCUCCAGGGGUUUCCUGCUUCCCAGGUCUCAGGCUGAGUGCUCUCAGAAGCACCAGGGCCAGGGCAGACAGGGGGACGCAGCACACCCAUUCCUGGCAGACCCACGAACUAGCAACAGCCCAAAGCAGGCACCCUGCAGCAACUUUCAAAUCAGCGCCGCCCCCCACCCACUGCCAACACUCCUGGAAGGCACAGGCACCCGGCCACACACCCAUGACAUCCCUAACAGUUUUUUUUUUUUUUUUGAGAUGGAGUCUCGCUCUGUCGCCCAGGCUGGAGUGCAGUGGCGCGAUCUCGGCUCACUGCAAUCUCUGCCUCCUGGGUUCAUGCCAUUCUCCUGCCUCAGCCUCCUAAGUAGAUGGGACUACAGGCGCCCGCCACCACGCCCAGCUAAUUUUUUGUAUUUUUAGUAAUUUU